rnacentral:rRNA from 1 species
GACAGAGGGUGCAAACGUUGUUCGGAAUUACUGGGCGUAAAGGGCUCGUAGGCGGCCAACUAAGUCAGACGUGAAAUCCCCAGGCUCAACCUGGGAACUGCGUCUGAUACUGGAUGGCUUGAAUCCGGGAGAGGGAUGCAGAAUUCCAGGUGUAGCGGUGAAAUGCGUAGAUAUCUGGAGGAAUACCGGUGGCGAAGGCGGGUCUCUGGGCAGUAACUGACGCUGAGGAGCGAAAGCGUGGGGAGCGAACAGG